rnacentral:tRNA from 1 species
CGGUAGCUCCAAGGGGUAGAGCCCCCAGUUGAAACCUGGGGGGGCUGGUUCGAUCCCGGCCCGGACCA